GAUGAACGCUAGCGGCAGGCUUAACACAUGCAAGUCGAGGGGUAUUGGUUUUCGGACCAAGAGACCGGCGCACGGGUGCGUAACGCGUAUGCAAUCUACCUUUUGCAGAGGGAUAGCCCAGAGAAAUUUGGAUUAAUACCUCAUAGUAUAGUACUUUGGCAUCAAGGAACUAUUAAAGUCACAACGGCAAAAGAUGAGCAUGCGUCCCAUUAGCUAGUUGGUAAGGUAACGGCUUACCAAGGCUACGAUGGGUAGGGGUCCUGAGAGGGAGAUCCCCCACACUGGUACUGAGACACGGACCAGACUCCUACGGGAGCAGCAGUGAGGAAUAUUGGACAAUGGGCGCAAGCCUGAUCCAGCCAUGCCGCGUGCAGGAUGACGGUCCUAUGGAUUGUAAACUGCUUUUAUACAGGAAGAAACACUCGACGUGUCGGAGCUUGACGGUACNGUAAGAAUAAGGAUCGGCUAACUCCGUGCCAGCAGCCGCGGUAAAG
rnacentral:rRNA from 1 species